ACUCAAAUGAAUAGACGGGGGCCCGCACAAGCAGCGGAGCGUGUGGUUUAAUUCGACGCAACGCGCAACACCUUACCAGGGCUUGACGUCCUCGGAAUCCCCGUGAAAGCGGGGAGUGCUCCGCAAGGAGAGCCGGGAGGCAGGUGCUGCAUGGCUGUCGUCAGCUCGUGUCGUGAGAUGUUGGGUUAAGUCCCGCAACGAGCGCAACCCUCGCCGCCAGUUACGUGGAUGUCUGGCGGGACCGCCGGGUCAAACCGGAGGAAGGUGGGGAUGAUGUCAAGUCAGCAUGGCCCUGACGCCCUGGGCGACACACACGCUACAAUGGCCGGGACAAUGGGCAGCCAAGCCGUAAGGCGGAGCCAAUCCCCGUAAAACCCGGCCCCAGUUCGGAUCGUGGGCUGCAACUCGCCCACGUGAAGGCGGAGUUGCUAGUAACCGCAGAUCAGCAGUGCUGCGGUGAAUAUGUUCCCGGGCCUUGUACACACCGCCCGU
rnacentral:rRNA from 1 species